AAAAGGAGAAUUUUUUGAGUGGAAGUGAAGAAUAUGGCAUGCAUACAAGCAUUCCCUCCCUCUUGUUUGUAUCAGAGGUGAGCUUUUUGAGAAAGACUUAUGGAGGAACUUUGAGAGUGUCAGUUCUCAGAUCAAGAAGUUAGCUAACAGUAGGAGGAGUAGUAAUUCAUUCCACUGUAUGGCCAGAGAAAUAUAUGACAUAAAAGACCUGGAAAAGGAGAUUUGGCAUUGUUUCAUGUGGAAAUUGAAGAAUCUUUGAAAUGGAUACAUGGAACACAGACAUGUUUCAGUUACUUGGGGAUAAAACUUAUGAGGAAUUUUGCUAACUUUCAGAUGGGAAUGUGUUGUACAAGAAAUGCUUGAUCACAACCUUCUUUUAUUAGAAACCUUUUCUAUGCAAAUAAUUAUUUUAAAUGAAAUUUAGCUAUUUCAUUAGACUAGUAAACAUGUUUUCUGUGCAAGUGUGUGUCUUUGACAUUAAAUGCUAUGAUAUAUUGAAGUAUUCUUAAACAAUGGAAGAUCUCUACUAGUUCUUUCAAAGGAAAGCCAACAACAGGAAUCGAACCUGUUCCUCCAUCGUACAGAUACGAAAGUGUGCACCAGUACACCAUGUUGGCAUAUAUUAAGAACUAGUAGCCUUGGAGAGUAAAUAUUGUAUUAUUCUUGUAUGGUUGAUACUGGUUGGUGUGAUAUAUAUAUAUAUAUGUAUAUAUAUGAUAUACAUACAGCUUAGUAUAUAUAAUGUAUGCCUCAUGUUUGCUAGUCGUCAAUAAAGCAUUUGAAUUGAA